rnacentral:pre_miRNA from 1 species
UUAGUACUCACUUCGUCCCAAAAUUCUUGUCUUAGAUUUGUCCUGUACUGAUGUAUCUAGUCAUAUUUUAGUGUUAGAUACAACUGUAUCUAGAGAAACUUAAGACAAUAAUUUUGGGACGCAAGUAAUAU